GGAUGUUGGUGUACACGUAUGCAUCAUAAGGCGUGUAUGCCUCUAUUUAAGGAUGUAGAAUGUUGUGUAAAUGCACUUAUACGUUAUACACAUGUGUGUAUAUUUAGUGUAUAUGUAUAAGAUGUGUGUUUGUGUGUGUGUGUGUAUGUAGGUGUGCAUGUAGGUGCCAGUGCCAAGUGUGUGAGUGCCCGAGUGUGCCCACCUGACCCACUCAAAGCCACGAAUACCCAGGGUGUUUUAGCUCACUUGGCUUGCUUCUGCCCAAGAUUGCCAGAUUAAGGGGAAAUUAUCAGUAUUUGUUGGUGUGGUGAUUUUUCUUAUCCCAGCUGAUCAUUAUGGGAGCUCUGUUGUGUUAAGGUCUGGGUUUCUGUGUCAGUGGAUGGGAAGCCUUUACAUGCGAGGUUCAGCAGGAAAUUGAACAGAAUGAAGGAAAAUUGAGUCAGUUGCCUCUGCAAAGUGUGUGAAUCUGGUGGACGGUUUCUGCACGAGGGAUCGGGGCCUGGCCUAGCGCGCUGUAGCCAGGGCCUCUGGUCUCCGUUUUACAAUUUUUGAAUUUCUGUUAAAACAAUCAAGUCUUUAGGAUGGUGUUUGUAAGAGGAGAGACGCUUACCAGAGCAAGAGGCUCAAUAUCUGUCGACGGCAUGACUGAACCCAAGCAUGACCGAGAUAGCGACCGUGAGUCCCUCACCGACUGGACACUGGUGGACCGUGAUGGGACACCAGAGGGUGCAGAGGGAGAUACCCCACAGGAUGCUGAUGAGGAUGGUGUAGCAGGAGCCACAUCUAUAGAGGACGAGGGACAGGAAGAAGAGAAAGAAUCAGGCUAUGGAAUGGAGGAAGAUGAAGAGGAAGAAGAAGAGGAAGCGGAGGAGGAGGAGGAUGACGAAGGGCUAUCCGAUGAGCUGAUCUCGAUGGGCCAGAGGGUGCAAGAGAUCAAGGGUGAGUCCGUCAAGGCCUCUCUAGUCAUACGCUAUCAGAGGAUUUCAAAGAGAAUACCAGCCUUUCUGGUGUCCGUCUCCAAUCCUCUCUUCUCCAAAGCUUCCUCGGGCUCGGACUCCAGUGACAUAGAGACUCUCGAGUGCCCCGGUCCCGAUGAUUUUUACGAGGACCACGCCCUGGCCUACGAUUCCAUGCACUCCUCCCUCAUGUCCUGCUCCCUGCGCAGUUUUACCUUUGUGGGGGACUCAGAAGCUUCUGUGGAUAAUCUGUCCUUAGAUGGUACCAUGGUGGCCAGUAGAGCUGUCUGGGAAGGUGUAAUCCCAGGUGAGGCCGAUGCAGAGAGUCUUGCCAGCACAGAUAUUUCCGUGCUGGAUGAAGAGAAGGAAAAGAUUGGAGAUGAAGAAACGGACCUCUCUCUAGCCUCCUCACCUUCACUCCCUGAUGAUCUUCCAGCGAUAAAACCUGACACCCAGUACCGCCAUACCCCCGACAGAGAUCUCAACUCUAGGCUGAACAUCGUGGUUGCACUCACUCUUGCCUGUGUACUUGGUCUUGGCUUAGGACACUUCCUUGGCCUAGUGGAUCUGUCUGUGCAGAACAUUGACAAAGGUUGGUCCAGCCGUAGCAUGUGGCAAGACACACUAAACUCUGCUCAGGUACGUAAACUGCGUGAACUCCAGGAUGACUUGGUGAGCUGCAUGAACUCACCCCUCCAGCCCCCUCCUGCCCCUGCUCCUGGAUUCUCGUUUGACACCCCCCAGCCUCCCCUAAUGGAGACAUACCCCCCUGAGGCUGAUUUGCAUGAGUCUGCUUACCCGGGUGUAGAUGCUCCCUUUGUGCCGGUCCUGCCUGAGAGCAAGGAGAACCUGCUGAUUGUGGAGUCUUUCGUAGAGUCUUUGGUGACCCCCCUAGAGGAUGCUGGGGUGGUGCUCACUACCAACCGGAGGAAAGCUGAUGUGGAAGCCUUCAGCCAGCCGCACCCAGAAGGCUUUGGGGCUGCCACUGACCCCACUUUUGCCACCCCAGACAUCAUGCAGGAGGAGGACUUCAAAGCCGGGCUACCCAGACAGGUCAUAGAGGAUCCACGCAUAUUCCAGGAGACUGAGGAAAUUCUUGGAAAUGUGCAGGAGGUUGUUGCAGAGGCUGCAGAGGUCAUAGAGGCAUGUGUCCCAGAGAGCUGUGAUCCCUUGGUCCCAUAUGAAGGUGAACAAGUGAAGAGCGAGAGCCCAGGUCUCCCCCUCCUGGACCAGUCUGCCAAAGGUGACAGAGCCGAAGAUCUACAUGAUGAGGAUUUGGCUGCUACAGUAGAGAUAGAAAACCUGCAGCUCAUUGAGAAGAUGAACCAGGAGAAUGGGAAUCUGGAAUUGGAAAUCUCACAGCUGCAGCAGGAAAAUGUUACACCUUUCAAGAUCACAGGCAAGGAUGGGAAACAAGCAAGAGACCUACGGGAGCGUAUAAAUCGGCUCAUAGUGGAAAAUGAGGAGCUGCGCAUGGCCAUAGGGAAGCUGCAGUUCUCGAGUCUGCCUGAUGGUGACACAGGUGCCUUCAACACUGCCCUUGACAAGAACUACAACCUCCGUGUUGCCGUUGGAAAACUCACACAUCUUGUCUCUGACCUGAAUGCACUGAGGGUUUCAGCCAAUGAGCUACAGGCGGAGAAUCAUGAACUCACCAUCCAAGUUGGAAAACUGCGAUACCAGCAGCAACCGAUGCCAAGGGAGCUCAAUGCUGUUGCCAGGGAAGUAGAAAAUCUGAAGAAGACGGUCCUGGAAGCCUCCGAGAAGAAGAAGGAUGUACCAAACUUGAACAAUGCCAGAAAUUACGUAUCAUAUAUGACUCAGGUAUUGGCUGCUAUCCACACACUGCAUGAGUUUGAAGAAGCUGGUGUGUUUGAGAAGAUUGACAUGGCAUCAGACGUCUUUGUGGAUAUCGCACCAAAGAAUGUUAAGAUCUCUUCACCUGUACAACAGAAGCUGGACGUAGCCCGAAGCAAGUUUUCUGAGAUCAGAAAUUCUCUGUCUGAGAAGUGGAAUAAGAUGAAGACCCUGAGCUCUCCUGAGAACUUUGCCAACCUUGGCAAGAACACGCUGUCCAAGAUGAAUCGUGUGAUCGUGAAUGUGGUGAAUAAAUUGAAGGACAUCGGCCAGAAUGUGUUCAUGAAGCGAGGAAAGGCGCCCGUUGACAAGACCAUCAACACCAUGGCUGAGCGUCUCUUGGUCCUUGACACACAAUUUGACAAGACUUGGAAUGACUUGGAGGCUGAGGUGGAAGGUGGAGCUGAUGAGGGUGUGAUUGUAGCAGACGAAGAGCCAGAGGCCCCACAGGAGGACCAUGUCCUGGUGGAGGACAGUGAGGAGACAGCAGACACUGAAACUGAGGAUGAAGGAGUGGUCAUAGACACAGAGGAGGACGAGGAAGAAGAGGAUCAGGAAAUAGCUGUUGAAGAGCCACAGGAGGACAUCCCCGCAUCCCCCAUGCCACAGAAGGGAGGUGAGAGAGGCGGCGGUGAUGGAGGUGAUAAGAAGAAACAGCCCGAGGAGAAGAAGAGCAGAGAGAAGAAAAAGAAAGCACAAGAAAAGGAAGAAAAGAAAAGCCAGGAGAGGAAGCGGAACCGAUCAAGACGGACAAGACUUAGUGAGAAGGAAGAGAAGAAGGAGAAGCGAGAGGCUGAGAAGAAAGAAAGUGAAGCACAGAAGGAUGAGCAGCAGAGAGACCGAGACCAGGCCAAGGCAAAAGGUCGGAGAGAUGGCGAGCGGGAUGGCAACAAUGGACACCACCACAGGGACGGCAGAGACAGGAACUUGCAGGACCAUCAUGACAACCAUAGAUACUACAAGGGCCAAUAUAAUAAGUAUGACAAGAAGUAUAGAGAUGAUGAUGAUGACGACGACGAUGAUGACGACGACGACGAUGACGACGACGACGAUGAUGAUGAUGAUGAUUACAGAUACAAAAGGAGGCAUUACAGGAAGAAGAGAUAUGACGACGACGAUGAUGAUGAUGACGACGAUGAUGAUGACGAUGAUGACAGGUACAAGAGGAGACGAGGGAGCAAGCAUGAUGAUGAUGACGAUGAUGACAGGAAGAGGAGGGGGCUGAUGCGUCACUGGCAGAAACCGGGCAAGAAGAACUACCGCAGGGAAGUCACAGGGCCAAAGAAAGAAUUUAUCCGACGACGGGGUAAGAACCAAACCAAACAGCACAGCCCAGAGUGGCUGGAUAAACGGGCGCAGGGGCGUGCUAGCCGGCGGAGAGAGGGUCAGAAGGCCGACUGGCUAUUUGAGCGUGCGCGGGACCGAAAUGCAUUGCGUGAGCAAGAUUUAAAGUCUGAGUGGCAGUUUGACAGAGCCCGCGGCCGGAGGGAGGUUCGAGGUGAGGCCCAGGCUGAAGAGGAACCCAGGGCGAGAGGGCGCGGAAGCGGGGGACACAAUAGAUAUGAGAAGCACUUUAACUAUAGGCGGUAUGUCAGAUUUGAUGAUGACGAUGAUGAUGAUGACGAGGAAAGAUACCAGUACCAGUUCCACGAAACUAGACGGGGGAGGGGACGGGGCGGGCAGCGGGAACACCACCGACGGGGCAAGGGGCAGAGGGAAUGGAUCAUCCCUAACUUCCAUGCAGCCGGAAAGCACUACUAGGUGUGCUCAUUGCAUCCUUAGGGUAGCAACAUCCCCAUCCCCUUGUGUCCCCUUUUUUAGAGGAGUAUAUUCAUAUGAAAAUAAUAGUAAUAAUGAUAAUGAUUGAUGGAAUAGGAAGAAGAAUAGAGGUAAUGGAAGUUCUUGCUACUGAUGAGUUCCUCUGAAACGAGGCUCUAUAGCAAUAGUUGAGGCUGACUCUCGCCCCCUUCAAUCUUAUCCGUCUUUUUUUCUUUCUUCUUUUCUUUAUUCCUUUUGGAAGUCAGUUGCUACAAAGUAUUCAAGAAAAACAAUUAUCAUUAUAUCACUCAAAGAUUUUUGUAUUUGGUCCAGCUACAUAGAUUGAUUUACCUAUUUUAUAGGUAAUGACAGCUAUGAAUGAAGUUAAUUUAACUUUGAGACGUAAGAGGUGUGUUUGAAGUAUUUUGAUUACUGUUUUCAUCAGAAAAACAUGCUUGGAGUAAUUACAAAUCUUGGUUUGUUUCUGAUGAAGAUAGUAAUUGAAACACAUCAAAUGUGUUGUUAAAGUUAACGAGUCUCAUGCAUACCUUUUUCUACGUUUGUAGCAGUGACCUCUGUUCUUUACUUAUUUUGAUUAAUCAAGAAACAAAGUUAAGUUAUUCUUUGACUCCUUGCAUCCACAGUUCCCUUAAGAAAAGUCAAGUACUUUUCUCUGUUGUGGUGCAUUGAUUGUAGAUAUAUCCUUCCUCUUGUAUGAACUUUUUUCUGAUAUUUCUCUUUUGUUUUUAUCUAAAGCUUAAGAAACCUACUUAUGAAUGGAGAAUAUACUGUAUAAUGCAUUAGUUUUUGUCAUAAAAAGAUGUCAAGGGAGAUGUUUUUGUUCUGUUUUGGAUAAAUUCCUAAUCAAGUAGGUUCCCAUAGACACUUAGAUUUUAAGGUUCCUAAUAUUCCAAGGGUGGAAGCUGUAUUUUUGACAGGAUUUUGAUGAUACACAUACGAGUGACCUGACUUUUUUUCCUUUUCAAUUUUUAACAUAAUUUUUUAAUCUCUCGAUGUAUGGUCAUCACCUUUUUUCUCUCUUUUCUUUCAAUAUUUACAAUUUUCUUUCCUUUUUUUAUCUUUCUCCUCUCAUCUCCUUUUUUCUAAACUUCCUCAUUUCCAUUCCAGAUGACUAAGCCUCGAUGCUCUUUCAUUGUUAGUUGUACACUAUUGGAAGGAACAAAAUUCCCCAGAAGAAAGCAUGACACUAGACAGGAAAUUAGCUCGGAAUAGUGCUAAAUGCCUUCACUCUGCGCAUCAACUGAUAAUCCUGCCUGUAUAUUUCAGCCACUGCACAAAGUAGCACUGCAGCAGAUGUCCUCGCAUAUCUAGUUGUCUUUAAAAAAAAAAUCUAGCCUUCCUUUUCUCAAUGACCGUUUGGAUUGUCGAAAUAUAUGCUAUUUUUUGUUUAAUAUUUGACUGAGCUCCAGAGCAGCUCAUGAGUGUAAUCUAACCCGCAUGGUGUUCUGUUCCUUCUUUGUUUCUAUUUUCACAUGCUUUUUGACUCCCAAACAUCUUGUCUCCAUUAAAGUCAUCUCUCGUCAGCCUUGCAGCUCAACUGGCCCUUUUUUUUUCUUUUUUUUUUCAUUCCUGUUUUUAUGUAAAGGUGUUGUUUCCUAAACCUUGAUUGUUUCUUCAAGGUACAGAGAAAGCUAUGUUAAAUUUCAGGAUGAAUCUUAAUUCUUCAUGCUUUAAUGUCAUAUGUGAUAGUCAUUUAUAUAUAUUAAGGAUAAAAAGGCCGAGAAGUUUGUUAAGCACUUCAUUUAAAAGUGGUCGAUGGUGUUCUUCUUUAGAGUUGUUGACAUUUAAGGAUAUAUAUACAUAUACAUAUAUAUAUAUAUAUACAUAUACAUAUACAUAUACAUAUACAUAUACAUAUACAUAUAUACACACACAUACACAUAUAUAUAUAUACAUAUACAUAUACAUAUACAUAUACAUAUACAUAUACAUAUAUACACACACAUACACAUAUAUAUAUAUACAUAUAUACAUACUAAAGGAAAAUUCAGUUGUUUAGAUAUGGACUUCCCAGUCAUUAAAAGAUGUAGUCGGUUAUAUAAUUGGAAAUGGAUGUCUCUAAUUUGAUGUUUGUAAUUUAUAUGAUAAAUACAUAUACAGAUGUCAUAAUUGUUUGACUACCAAAUGCCUUAUUUUUUCCCUCACAUGAUUAAAAACCAUUUCUUGUUUCCCAAUUAUCUCGUAUACUAGUCUUCUGUCACCCGUGAAACUGUUACUUUAUUGGAUAUGUCAAUAAACCUUACCCAAUA
rnacentral:misc_RNA from 1 species